ensembl:lncRNA
AAAAUUCCAAAGUUACAAACAUGAACCAGGAUGAUUAUUCACCUUCAAAAGCCAUCCUUUUUAAACAUAGGGCUGACCUCAAAUUUAUUUUGAAAAGCCAACUCCUGUGGCAAGCAAAAUUUGGUGUGAUUUGUACACUAAGUUUCUCAAGAAUGUAAAUCUCAUGCAGAGCAGAGGACUUAUAUUCAGCCUUGAAAAGUAUUUUACACAAUAUAAUGGGCUCCAGAGCCAGGGAAGGAAGAACCUCUCAGACCCACCCUCUCAGCAGGGGAGAAAACAAAGUCUGCACGGAUGGCUUUCCUUGGCCACUACUCCUAGCCACUUCUAAUUUUGUACCCCUCUGUGCCAGGUGGAUGAGGAGUCGGAUCAUCUCCAGGUCAGAGCGUUCCAAAAGAUGCACAGGUUUUUCCCAUUCAAGUCCCAUAUGGUUUCCCCAGGGCCAUUUUAUCCUUGAUGUCCUUUCACAUUCUCUACUUUGUCUCGCUGUAAUCCAAUCCACCCCAGGCCCCUCCAGUCAUCGUUAAGUGUAUUCCCACGGGUCAGGGAGCUCUCUUGGAGCAUCCCUUUAGAGCAGCUGUCCAUUUGAGCAGCAUCUGCUUUUCAACUAGCUUGAAGACAGAAUGAAGGACAUGGUCGAGUCUUUCCCAGUGGGAAGCGGAUGACACCGGUAACCUUAGGGACUGCCAUCAGGAUGCUGCGCGUUGAGUGGCCCCCGCAACUCGCAAGCGAAGAUUCGGCUCGCUGCAGCCAACAAGCCCGACAGCUCCGGGAGGUCUCUAUAUCCUGGAAAUUUUCAGAUUCUUCAGGCAAUGGACCAUCUGCAAUUGUUUGGAUGCGUAUGUAUAUAUGUAAUGUGUGCCAGGGGACCCAGUGAUAAUGAAGAAAAUUGCAUCUCAGUUCAUUGCCAAUAAUUCUUGCUGGGGCACAGAAUGGUUUUAAAAAAUUAAAAUAAGUAAACAGAACAAUAAGAUGCUACCACUAGAAAGGACCUGCUGAGUCUUAUUGUACCAAACCCCUCAUUUUAAACAUGAGAAAGAAGUUCGGAUAAGUGACUUUUCCAGGGUCACCAAGCU